AGUGAACGCUGGCGGCAGGCCUAAUACAUGCAAGUCGAACGGCAGCACAGCAGAGCUUGCUCUGUGGGUGGCGAGUGGCGGACGGGUGAGGAAUACAUGGGAAUCUGCCCAGUCGUGGGGGAUAACGUAUGGAAACGUACGCUAAUACCGCAUGCGCCCUAAGGGGGAAAGCCGGGGACCGCAAGGCCUGGCGCGAUUGGAUGAGCCCAUGUUCGAUUAGCUAGUUGGCGGGGUAAAGGCCCACCAAGGCGACGAUCGAUAGCUGGUCUGAGAGGAUGAUCAGCCACACUGGAACUGAGACACGGUCCAGACUCCUACGGGAGGCAGCAGUAGGGAAUAUUGGACAAUGGGGGCAACCCUGAUCCAGCCAUGCCGCGUGAGUGAAGAAGGCCCUCGGGUUGUAAAGCUCUUUUGUCCGGAAGAAAGCAAUCGGUUAAUACCCGGUUGUUCUGACGGUACCGGAAGAAUAAGCACCGGCUAACUUCGUGCC
rnacentral:rRNA from 1 species